AUUGAACGCUGGCGGCAGGCCUAACACAUGCAAGUCGAGCGGAUGAAGGGAGCUUGCUCCUGGAUUCAGCGGCGGACGGGUGAGUAAUGCCUAGGAAUCUGCCUGGUAGUGGGGUAUAACGUCCGGAAACGGGCGCUAAUACCGCAAACGUCCUGAGGGAGAAAGUGGGGGAUCUUCGGACCUCACGCUAUUAGAUGAGUCUAGGUCGGAUUAGCUAGUUGGUGGGGUAAAGGCCUACCAAGGCGACGAUCCGUAACUGGUCUGAGAGGAUGAUCAGUCACACUGGAACUGAGACACGGUCCAGACUCCUACGGGAGGCAGCAGUGGGGAAUAUUGGACAAUGGGCGAAAGCCUGAUCCAGCCAUGCCGCGUGUGUGAAGAAGGUCUUCGGGUUGUAAAGCACUUUAAGUUGGGAGGAAGAGCAGUAGGUUAAUACCUUGCUGUUUUGACGUUACCAACAGAAUAAGCACCGGCUAACUUCGUG
rnacentral:rRNA from 1 species